GACGAACGCUGGCGGCGUGCUUAACACAUGCAAGUCGAACGAAGUGGCGAACGGGUGAGUAACGCGUAAUCACCCUGCCCUUCAGAGGGGGACAACAGUUGCAAACGACUGCUAAUACCGCAUACGGAAGGAGGGGAUUGCGUCUGAUUAGCUAGUUGGAGGGGUAACGGCCCACCAAGGCGAUGAUCAGUAGCCGGUCUGCGAGGAGUAACGGCCAACGUUGGACUGAGACACUGCCCAGACUCCUACGGGAGGCAGCAGUGGGUAUUCUUCCGCAAUGGACGAAAGUCGGACGGAGCAACGCCGCGUGAGUGAUGACGGCCUUCGGGUUGUAAAGCUCUGUUAAUCGGGACGCGGUACCGGAAUAGAAAGCCACGGCUAACUACGUGCCAGCCGCCGCGGUAAUAC
rnacentral:rRNA from 1 species